AUUGAACGCUGGCGGCAGGCCUAACACAUGCAGGUCGAGCGGAUGAAGGGAGCUUGCUCCUGGAUUCAGCGGCGGACGGGUGAGUAAUGCCUAGGAAUCUGCCUGGUAGUGGGGGAUAACGUCCGGAAACGGGCGCUAAUACCGCAUACGUCCUGAGGGAGAAAGUGGGGGAUCUUCGGACCUCACGCUAUCAGAUGAGCCUAGGUCGGAUUAGCUAGUUGGUGGGGUAAAGGCCUACUAAGGCGACGAUCCGUAACUGGUCUGAGAGGAUGAUCAGUCACACUGGAACUGAGACACGGUCCAGACUCCUACGGGAGGCAGCAGUGGGGAAUAUUGGACAAUGGGCGAAAGCCUGAUCCAGCCAUGCCGCGUGUGUGAAGAAGGUCUUCGGAUUGUAAAGCACUUUAAGUUGGGAGGAAGGGCAGUAAGUUAAUACCUUGCUGUUUUGACGUUACCAACAGAAUAAGCACCGGCUAACUUCGUG
rnacentral:rRNA from 1 species